GGAGAGGUGCCAGAGCGGCCGAAUGGGCCGGUCUCGAAAACCGGUGUGGGAGCAAUCCUACCGAGGGUUCGAAUCCCUCCCUCUCCG
rnacentral:tRNA from 1 species